UAUUGGAAACCUGAAGACGUUCUGUGCGGGAAUUCUAAAAAAACUGCCCCCCCCCCUCUUCUUAAAGAGAUCGAGGCGGUUCGCGGUGGGCAUUCCGGCGUUGACCCGUUCACGCCACGGCGCAAUACUCGCUCCUCGGCGAUGGCAGGACCGAAAAAAUCAAAGGCCACGGCAGCUGAGGCGGUGCUGCUAAAGGCCCUUGGCAUUGCGCAUGACGAUCUGGCAAUGCACGAUGGCGCGCUGGGACAGUUGCGCGAACUGUUCGACUCUCCAAUCCAGGAGCCCCAGCUCAAGGCGAUUGCGGCCAUCUUCGGCAAAUCUAUCCAGUUUGACCUGGGCAAGGAGGAGGCCGCAAGGGUGAUUGUGCUUGCCUAAUUGGCAGGCCCCGGCGCGACUAUCCGCUGCUAUGUCGUCGCCUAAUCUGGAGUUGGUGUGCUGGAACGUGCGCGACCUCAACAGCCCCGCGAAGAAAAAGGCGCUGCGGGAAUUCGCAGAUACGACUCACCCGGCGAUUUUCUGUAUUCAGGAGACUAAAUUGGC
rnacentral:rRNA from 1 species